GAAAGGGACAAUGGUCGGAUUAGUCUUGUCCUGGUCUGCUCUUGUGUUCCUUCCUUCCCAGCCCUCCCCACUGCCCCCCCCCCAGCUAUCCCUCAACUCUCCCACGCGAAGUAAUGAAUUUGGUUCUGCUAAUUGAGGCUUUUGAGAUCUUGAGCAAAUUUGCCCUGGGCUUCCAGCUUCUGCAUCUGCACAAUGAGGGGGCGGGUCUGCUGGGUCCGUUCAGUUCCAGGUCAUCGAUGAUCCGGCUCGACCCUUGGCUCCCAUCCUGGCGAUGAUCCGGCUCGGCCCUUGGCUCCCAUCCUCCCUCUGUACUCGGCGAUGAUCCGGCUCGGCCCUUGGCUCCCAUCCUCCCUCUGUACUUGGCGUGCUGAUUCUCCCUGGCAGACUAGAACUGGGCCCUUGGGGGAGGGUCAGCACCAAGGGGAGGCGGCCAGUCCCAUUGAGUUUGGGGAAUGAGGAAGAAAAGAGGUGCCAGAAACCCCGGGCCCGGCCACCUUGACUGGACAAGUGAGGAGAGCCAGAGUUUGCUCAUAAGGGCACUUGCCCAAGGUCACAUCCACCAAGCGGCUCAGAUGGCGCUCCAGCCCAGAUUGGCUAAUAGCUGCCUAGGGAUCCUCCCUCUGGUUCCCACCCACACCCAAGCUUUUCCAGCUAGCGGGGUGGGGGAAGGAGGGAGGAGAGGGGGGCUGCCGACUGAUGAGUAGCAACUUCCAGAAAAGAGAAAGUUGGUUUUCCCACAGAGGAAGCCCGUAAGUGAGGAGUGACUGCCUCCGGCGGCUCUGACCUGACCCAGGCGCAGCCACAAAGAAAAAUGCCCGAAGGCUCAGCUCGGCCCCACCCAGCAGCUGAAACAACAGCCAAGGAUGGUCACCGGGGCCAGGGCCGGCACACACACACUGACACACAUAGAAGCGCACUCACGCACCAGCUCGCACGCCGGCACACACAUAAACGCGCUCACGCAUACCCAUCCACACGCUUACACACCAGUACGCACGCACACUGGCACGCACAUCCUCAAGUGCCCAGAAGAGCAAACAGCCCUCCUGCCUUCCCAUCAGAACUGGGCUGAUGGGAAAAGGAGGAGGCUGCUGCCGAACCACUCCCCGGGUAAAGAGGAGCUUUCGGGACCCGUUUGGGGCGGCCACACCCCAAGAAAGUCCCAUCUUUUGCCCCACUUGUCUCACUCGAACACGUUUGCCUUUCAGGGAUCCCGUCCUGGUUCGGACACUGGGGGGGGUGACCUCGGGAGUCGGCCCUCCGUGGCGGGAGGCAGGGGAAAUGGACUGUCUGUGGUCACGGACCAGCUCGGUCACCCUCAGUUUCCCCAUUUGUCACCGCAUCAAUGCCAAGCCUGACGUCUGAGUCCCAGGAUGUUCCUGGAGAGUCAGAGGGUCUGACUUGAAAUCCCAGCUUUGGGACCACCCAUUGGCCCACAACAAUCCUUUGAGCCCGAGGGUUUGACAUAUAAGGAAACUGAAGCUCAGGAAGGCCAAUGACUUGACCGUAGUCAUACAGCUAAUAAGUCUUCAAGCUCCAAAUCCAGCGUUCAAGACACGACGCCAAGCUUUUCCUCGCACGGGGCCCGGGACUGGCCAGACAGGGCUACACCCUACACUGAAACUUGGGUCUCUUGACAGCAGGAACCCACCCCCAUCCCCAUCUCUGAGGAUUGCAGCCCCUCCUGCCUCUGCCUGGGCAGGAACCCUCCAGGUUCCAAGCCAGGCUCCCAGCAUCCACCCGCCCUGUAGAGGAAGGGCCCUCACUUGAGACUUGCCGGGCCUAGGCCUGGUCUCUAGAUACAAUAACAAAAACAAGAAUCAGAAUAAUAAAUCAAAGGAGAUACAGUUUGCAAAGCACCUCACACAGUGCCCAGCGGAUGGCAGGCCCCACUGUGCGCUGCUUCCCGUGCCUGCCCUCCGCCCAGAAAGACCGACUUAUCUAAGUGCCAGGAUGUCAGCAAAGUGCCUCGGCUGCCUUUGGGGGCCGUUCUCAAGCUACUCCAGACUGGGGGCUGCCCUCUGCAAAAGGUCAAGUUCAAGGGGCUAACUCACACGGAACCAGAAUGGGCCACUUGGCCAUACCCCCUCAAAGUGGGGGUGGAGGGAUGUCAACGCCCUAUAUUGGGAGCCACCUGUCAAGGACUUGACCAUGGAUGGGCUCCCAGGCGGGGCAGGUUCUUGCUCUGAGUCUCUUUCUCUCUGUGUAUUUCUCUGUCUCUGUUUCUCAUACUGUGUCUCUGUCUCUCUUUUGGGCUAUCUCUGUCUCUGCCUCCCUCCCCCCUCUCUGUUACUGUCUCUCUUGUCUUGGUCUCUUUGUCUGUCUGUCUCUGUCUGUAUUUCUUUCUGUCUCUUUAUCUCUCUCUGUCUCUUGUCUGUCUCUAUCUUUGUCUCUGUGUUUCUGUCUCUCUGUGUCUCCAUCUCUCUGUUGGGCUAUCUCUGUCUCUGUCUCUGUCUCGAUCUGUCCCUCCCCCCUCUCUGUGUCUGUCUGUCUGUCUGUCUGUCUCUCUCUCUCUCUCUCUGUUUCUCUGUCUGUCUGACUGUGACUGUCUCUCUGUUGGGCUAUCUUUGUCUCCAUCUCUAUCUGUCCCUCCACCCUCUCUGUUUCUGUCCCUCCCUCCCCUCCUCUGUUUCUGUCUCUGUCUCUCUCUUUUCUGUCUCUGGCUCUGUCUCCCUCUGUCUCUGUGUCUGUCUCUGUCUCUCUCUCCCCUCUCUCUCUCUCUCUCUCCUCUCUCUCUUUCCUCUCCCUCUCCCUCUCCUCCACCCUUCCCUUCCCUCUGCCUCUUAGUAUUCCAGGACUCCUCCAAAGCAGGUAGCCACCUCUUUCAGAAGGUCUUCCCUGACCCUGGCUCCUCAGUAGAAGGAAAUCUCCCUGGGAGCAGGCCCAGUUCUGGUUUGACUUGGUCCACAGCAGGCCCUCCCUAAACACCCCACCCGGUCCCAUCCUCUGCAAGCAUUUGUCCAGAGACCCGAGUAGUCUCGGGGGAGAAACACCUCCCAGGAUGGGCAAGCGCCCCGCCCCACCCCUCAGUCUCCUAAAUCAGUGACUCUGACCCUGUCCACAAGCAAUCAAGACGAGGGCCACCAUUGACUAUGACUGUGAGGACGGGGGAGGGGGGCGGCCCCACGGUGUGCAGUCUGCCUCCCCACGGUGUGCAGUCUGCCUCCCACCCUCGACCCGGCCCAAGUUCCCAGACUCCUCAGAGCCCUUCCUUAUCUGUGCAUUGGAGGGAAUUACACAUGGAGCACCCGCCCCCCAGGAUAGACUGUUCCUGAGAACAAAAGAGACCAGCCUAUAAGUGGGCAAACUUCUGGCCCGUCCAAUACAAACAUCCCUGGCCGCGGCUUUUGGAUCGUCCUCUACCAUGGAGAACCAUUUGCCAAACCAGGUCCCGCUAGUACAGGAUCAGAGUCCAGAGGGCUGGGCCUAGUGUCCAUUCAGUCACAACCAGAUCCUGAGAAAUGGUCCUCCAGCCUUAGUCUGGAGCCUCUGAGGGGAGGCAGCCAUCACCUGGGGGAGGUGCUCUCCCUGCCAUGCCCCCAAGCCCCCUCCCAAAGUUCUGCCCUCAGGGCCGAGCAGAACAAGCAGGGCCCUCGUCCUCCUCCCCAGGACCAGCCUUCUCAGACUUGAGGACCAGAGCCUCCUCUUCCCCGGGCUGACUAAACACACAGAAACUCUUGGCCCCAAGCUCACAUCCCAGCUGCCUGGCUCCAGCCCCCCUGAGCCAGACAGUGCCCCGCAGAGCUGACCUAUGCCCAAGACUAGCCCCGGGCCAUCUGAGGGAUUGGGGCUGGGACCAGAAGGUUGGUCCCCUAGAAGCCUGCCAUCUUGGAAGUGGCAGACCGGGACCCGAACCCAGCACCACUGCCUUAGCCCUGCUGCCGCCCCUGGCUCUCUGCUCCCCGGUCACCCACCGGGCUCCCGAAGGGUGCCGGCAGCCGAACUACCGUCCUCCGACCGAGGAGGGAGCCCCGGGGGAGCCGAGGCCGCAGCUCCCAGAGCAGCAGAGGGAAAGUCCUGGGACUGAUUCAGCCAUCAGACACGUCAGAGCCCCAG